GCCAAUGUGGCUCAAUGGAUAGAGCAUCGCUUUCCUAUUAUGUGGCUGCUUAGAUCUUUGAUCUCAGAGGCUAUAAGGCGAAGGUUGUGGGUUCGAGUCCCAUCAUUGGUU
rfam:Termitomyces sp. J132 unplaced genomic scaffold scaffold186, whole genome shotgun sequence.